CAGUAGCCGCGGUAAUACGGAGGGUGCAAGCGUUAAUCGGAAUUACUGGGCGUAAAGCGCACGCAGGCGGUCUGUCAAGUCAGAUGUGAAAUCCCCGGGCUUAACCUGGGAACUGCAUUUGAAACUGGCAGACUGGAGUCUUGUAGAGGGGGGUAGAAUUCCAGGUGUAGCGGUGAAAUGCGUAGAGAUCUGGAGGAAUACCGGUGGCGAAGGCGGCCCCCUGGACAAAGACUGACGCUCAGGUGCGAAAGCGUGGGGAGCAAACAGGAUUAGAUACCCCGGUAGUCCCUGUCUCUUAUAC
rnacentral:rRNA from 1 species